rnacentral:rRNA from 1 species
AAAUGAAUUGACGGGGACCCGCACAAGCAGCGGAGCAUGUGGUUUAAUUCGAAGAUACGCGAAGAACCUUACCAAGGCUUGACAUCCCGCGACCGCUAUAGAAAUAUAGUUUUCCAGCAAUGGACGCGGAGACAGAUGGUGCAUGGUUGUCGUCAGCUCGUGUCGUGAGAUGUUCGGUUAAGUCCGGCAACGAGCGCAACCCCUAUGAUAUGUUGCCAAUAUUAAGUUAGGAACUCAUAUCAGACUGCCGUGGAUAACACGGAGGAAGGUGGGGAUGACGUCAAAUCAUCAUGCCUCUUACGUCUUGGGCAACACACGUGCUACAAUGGGCGCUACAAAGAGCAGCAAGCAUGCAAAUGUAAGCGAAUCUCAGAAAAGCGUUCUCAGUUCAGAUUGUGGGCUGCAACCCGCCCGCAUGAAGCAGGAGUUGCUAGUAAUCCCGAAUCAGAAUGUCGGGGUGAAUGCGUUCCCGGGUCUUGUACACACCGCCCGU